rnacentral:lncRNA from 1 species
GCGCGGCCGAGCCACCACUGGAUUCAUCCUCCAUCGUUCACAGAUCAUUUUGCUCGAGGACGCCACCAGCGACGGGGAAGGAUGCCGCCACUGGAUCCACCACUCUACCUCUCCCCUGCUCCUAAUCCAAGGUUCCCCCAUGGAUUCAGCCCAAUUCUCUAAGCCUUCUUUUUUUGGCUUGCAGGUGAGCGCAAAUAGGAAGCGAAGAGCCUUCUCCUGCAGCGGCGGGGGCGAUUGGGAUGAAGCCGCCACCACCGUUCCCCCACUACUCUGGUUCCCCGACGACUUCGCAAGUCCGUGGUAUGCCUCCUCUACUCCUCACCCGAUGCCUCCUUGUUUCUCUCAGUUGUGAUUUCUAGGUGUUGUGCUUGUACUCUCCUAUGAUUUUGAGAAGGGACCUCCCCUGCUUGCAAAGUAUGACGUAACUGAAUUACGAAACUGUAAUAAUUUUUGUCCAGUCUAUCUCUACGUUUGUUGAUCCACGGGAUGUCAAGAGAGCAUAGGUAAUGGCUGGAUAAUGGAAGGGAUUAUGAACAAGGGAGCGUGAUCCGUACACUCUUGCUUGGAUCGAUCUGUGGUGAUCUAUUUGUCCCUGCCUUUCUAUCUUCACGAUCCUCUUGGGCAUGAGACCCGUCUAGGUCUUAAGUGUUUUUCAUAGCUUUGAAUGAAGGGAAGGCCUAAUGAUGAUUUAGUAAAUUAUUGUGGUAGUCACAAGGACAUCAUGCAAGAGGCAACCAGAUGCAAGAGGCACUAGAGGAGAUAUAUGGAGAGUAGAGAGGAAAUCAAAUGUAUGGUACAAACUACAAAGAAAUGGAACUUCAGAAAUAUCUGGCAGUCAAAGGAAGAAACACAAGAAGUUACAUUAUGCCUUUAACUUAAAUCAUGUAGCAGAACAAAAUACUUCUCUAUUUAUUUCUGAAUGCCUGCCUUUUCUUCAAGUAAUAUCGUCAUACAUAACACAUUCGACUUGUGUUAAGAGUGCUGAUAGAACUCCUGUUAGAAACAUGGCGAGGUUGAACCCAACGAUUUCAGAAACACUAUAAAAAGUGUUGAGCAUUAAAAAGGUGUUCUACUGUAGUGGUAAUGCUUUUCUUAGAGUGGCGAAUAUGUUUUUGUUCUUAGGAACCUACUGUAGUGUAAUGCCGUCAGCAUGCAUGUAAAAGUCAUGUCAUAAUAUACUGUUUAUACUGCAUCAUUGGUUUAGUACCCACUUUGUGUGUUUUCUCAUCGAAUUUAGUGAAAGCUCGAUGACGAUUGCUAUGCAUCCACUGAAAUAACUAAAAUUUCCAUUGGUUCAGUAACGGAUGCCAUUGUAAGAAUAAUUAGUCAUUGCAUUUCUUUCAUAUAAUUAAGUUUGUAAUGUAUGGCCAGUGUGGCUCCAUUUACCAUCGACCAUAUCAUACUGAUUAUGUUGUAGAAUUAUCAUGAAGGAAGGGGGCGGCCAAGGUGGCUCAUAUUCUACAUUGGCUCGCCGAUCCUCUUGUCCUCUUUCUCCUAUGGAAAAGGAACUAUGCUUCUGGAAUCAGGAUGAAAACACAUCUUGCAGCUGUAAUAUAGGUGGUUAUGUCAGAGGCCUAGGGAGAGGUGUUGUCUGCAUAGGCGUCGCCUGGCUGCAGCGAUCGGAACACUAGGAUUAUCUAAGAAAUAUAGAAGAAAGACAGCAUGUAAAUGAUCAAUAUCUGAUUUGAGUAUGUUAAAUGAAGUAGUAGAAAUUAACUGCUCCACUGAAAAUAGAAAUGAAAUACUUAUAUGCUUAUUUAAAGCUAUUCUUAUUAUUCUACUGAAAUCCAUCGAAGAUAGUCUAUUUAGCUGACUCAAUCCCUACAGUUGCUUCUACAGUAUUUAGUACAUCAUUUAUUUGAUUUCCUAACUAAUUGAAAUUCUUGUUAGCACUCUUCUCCAUGAAUGCGAAGCACUCCACAAAAAACGCCUAGGUGCAACGGGCUUGCCUGAUUAUUAUUUGUUGCUGAACAUGGUGGCCCUUUGAGUAGAGAGACCUUCUAAGAUUUCAGUAAUGCACCAUCUAUACAAUCUAUAAUGACCAGUUAUGUCUCAUGUUAUAUAUUUAUUUUGUAUGUUGCUUGUCUUGGCUGAUUGAUUGGUAGUUUCCUUGUAUCAGCUCUUAAUUUGUUUCUACCCAUAAGACUGAAUUCAGAAAUAAUCAAGUGUUGGUCCCUUACUAAAUUUAUGUUUUACAUGUUAAAGCUUCAUUAUCUGAAGCCAUGCGGUUCAUGGUAAUUCAUUUUUACAAGUUCCCUACACAAAGUACUCAAUCAAAAAAUAAAAAAUAAAAGAAUAUGUCUAAGAUGUGUGGCCGUCCUUGCAUCUCCUAUGUCUAAGAGGCUUUCACCUCAUCCAAGGAUGAUGGCACUCCGCGUAUAUGUGUGUGUUAUUUUAGUUUUAAUAUUGCAGCUGCAUGAUGCUCAUAUAUCGAGGCUAUCAUUUCUCGUUGAGGCAAUAAAAAUGAUUCUACGGAUUAUUUGUUUAUCCAUGUUACUAUCUGGAAUUUUAUCUUUUUAUAAUAUAUUUUUCAUUGAUAUAUUUCUUGCUACUUCCAGAUGAACAGGGAGAAGGUAUUCCAGUUUCAUGGUUCAAAGGACUGAUGUUUUCACUUUGUUGUUGCACAAAUGGUCUAUCUCUUAUAAAGUGAAAGCAAAUUUAGGUCCAAGAACCAAGCUUAUUUUGUAGCUACACUCAAUCAACUGAGCAGACUAGGAGGUAUGCCCUUAUCACCUGUGUGGAUGCAAGGAAUUCCAUAAUGAUAUUCCAUAUUCCACUAGAAGAGUACUUCAAGAAAACGACAUUUCCGUUCUUGGAGUUUUGUGCAUAAGAGAAGUUUCUUGCAUUACAAUGGUAUAAAUUUCUGUUGUGUCUAUUUUUCGGACGACCUCUUCUCGUGAAUGGGGAUUGAUGCCACAAUGAUAUUCUUUACUAUUUGUGUUCUAGAAGCAUUCCUCCUAUUGUGUAGUAGUGCUAUUAUUUCAGAGUCCGCCAUCUAUGUAGUGCAUUUUCAAUCACCAGUAGUAUUUUAACCUUCUACCUUUCUGAAAUGAGUUCAUGAUUGGGGAUUUAUGCCACAAUGACAUUCUUCACUAUUUAUGUCCUAUUGUGUAACAGUGCUAUUAUUUCAUAGUCUGCCAUCUAUGAGGUGCAUCCUCAAUCACGAGUACUAUUCUUAUCCUUGUACCUUUCUGAAAUGAGUUAUAUCAUCUCACACGAUGUUUAUUCGUACCCUUUGUGGUACAUGUUGUGCCUUCUUUGUCUCGCAAUACAAUCCUAGGAUCUAUGCUUAUCCACGAGGUUGCCUUUUCAUCUUCAAAUUUGCAUUGAUUUUCCUUCGCUACAAUUCUAUUGUCUUGUGGUGAGAAGCUCUUGGGUAUUUGCUUUGUUCGUAACUUAGUGUUUGUAAUCGGUUCCAGCUCAUGCUGAUGACGAUUGCCUGAAUUAAUUUGUUGCAGAUACAAUUGGCAAGUCCUAGAGAAGGAGAAAGGGUUAUCGACCAUCUGCUGCAUCCACACUAUGCUUGAUUAUGGGUCUAUUACAAAUAUGGAUAAUUUUGCAAAGAAUCAAUAUGUGAAUUCGAAGUUAUGCAGUUAGGCUUAUGGGCUACCUUUUAGAUUAGGCUUUUGUGUAUAUAUUUACUACACACGCGGAUGCAAAAAGACCACCAUAGUAGAGAUCAUAAUGUAGUUUUCCGUAGUUACCUAGGAUCGGUUCAUGUACUUUAUGUUGUUGUUGAUACAUGGCAUGCUAGACUAGGGUAUUACUACUUAGUGUUUCUAUAUGUAAUGUACUAUCCAAAAUAUGAUGUAUGAUAUGUCAGAUCUUAACGUUGUUUC